GUCCACGCCCUAAACGAUGGCAACUGGGUGUUGGGGAGCGAUUCCUCAGUACCGUAGCUAACGCGUGAAGUUGCCCGCCUGGGGAGUACGGCCGCAAGGUUAAAACUCAAAGGAAUUGACGGGACCCGCACAAGCGGUGGAUGAUGUGGAUUAAUUCGAUGCAACGCGAACAACCUUACCUACCCUUGACAUGUCUGGAACCCUGCUGAGAGGUGGGGGUGCCCGAAAGGGAAUCGGAACACAGGUGCUGCAUGGCUGUCGU
rnacentral:rRNA from 1 species